rnacentral:lncRNA from 1 species
UGGGCCUUGGUGACCGCAUAGCCCACACAUGUGAAGGAGACCAAGGUGGUGAUUGCCCUGAAGUCUCAAUUAUCUGACGCGUCUAAGAAGACUUGAUGAUUUUCAGUUUGUUCUGUUCUCUUCUUGCCACGGUGAUGGGGGUGAUGACUUCCAUGAUCCUCAGAUGCUGGAGCCGGAGCCAGAAGUUUAUGCCUUUGGUUUUGUAAACUGUUCUCAUUCAUUGUCUUUGUUACUAAAGCACCACUGAGUAAAUGUUGACUGAUCAAAAUGUCUCUCAGUAUAUGUCUGUCCGCUCAUAUUGAAGAGUGAGGCACUAAAGAGCUUGUUGGAAGCUGGGUGUGUGGUUGGUUAAAUAAUGGAAUUCUUGUGGGAUUACUGAUUGGGAACCAAAUGAUUUCUUUGAGGGACCCCAAACACCAGUAUCUGUUACUCUCUGUGCCUGUCAGUUUCUCUGAGAGGACUUUACAGUCUUCUGUCUUUGGGCCAGAAGGCUGCUGCCAGGAUUUUGAGUUCUGAGUAGGGAAAGUAGACUGUGGGACUCAAUUUUUUUUGGUGUUUUUGCAUUUAGCCCCUUACCUUGUCCCUCCUUUUUUCUGUGCCUGGUGUUCUGAGGCCCAGAUCCCAUAGGCCUGAUUUUGUUUUUUCUCAAAGAGUAAAUCUUUUGUAUUCUGCCUGGUCAGAGUAGGUGACUUUGGGGAAUGAACUGCCCUUUACUUCAUACCUUCUACCGGUUUUGCUGUUUCCAGCAUACCCCUCUUUAUCUUCAACAUUGGUUGAUGCCUAUAAUUUCUAAUACUUUAUGGGGCAUAGUUUUACUUGCUGCUUUCUGGCUUUGCUUUUUUAGGUAGUUGGUUUUAGCUUUCUUUACGUUGCUGUAUCACUUGCACCUGUCCAUGUGCUUUUUCUAUUUUACCUUUUUUUUUUUUUUUUUUUUUUUUCAGACGGAGUCUCGCUCUGUUACCCAGGCUGGAGUGCAGUGGUGCGAUGUUGGCUCACCGCAAGCUCCGCCUCCCGGGUUCAUGCCAGUGUCCUGCCUCAGCCUCCCGAGUAGCUGGGACUACAGUCGCCCGCCACCACGCCCGGGUAAUUUUUUUUUUUUUUGUAUUUUUAUUAGAGAUGGGGUUUCACCGUGUUAGCCAGGAUUGUCUCGAUCUCCUGACCUCGUGAUCCACCCGCCUCGGCCCCCCAGAGUGCUGGGAUUACAGGUGUGAGCCACUGCACCCGGCCGGCCAGGCUGGUCUUAAACUCCUGACCUCGUGAUCCACCCACCUCGGC